rfam:Marivita cryptomonadis strain CL-SK44 contig5, whole genome shotgun sequence.
GUCCUCGAUCUGUUGCGGGCAGAUGAAGUGGAUGUGGCUGUCGAACCCGCCAGCGGUCAGGAUGCGGCCCUCACCGGCAAUCGCCUCGGUUCCCGGUCCAACGAUGAUGUUCACCCCCGGCUGGGUGUCGGGGUUGCCCGCCUUGCCGAUCUUGUAGAUGCGGCCAUCGCGCAGGCCGACAUCGGCUUUGUAGAUGCCGGUAUAGUCCACGAUCAGCGCGUUUGUGAUCACAGUAUCCACUGCGCCCUCGGCCCGCGUGGCCUGCGACUGGCCCAUGCCGUCGCGGAU